AAGGGCCCCUCCUCCCUCAGCGGGGCCUGCAGGGGGCCUUGCCAAGGAGCCUUCUGGCCCCCAUCCAGGAGCGCCCCCUGAGGAGGGGGGCGGAUGGGGGGGAGGCUGUGCACGCAGAUGUACAGGGACGGCCCGCAGGUGGGCGCUGCCCCGUGGCCCCGAGGCUCCAGAAACUCCCAGUAGAGAACCCGCGUCGUGUCCCUCUGGAUCACCCGGGAACCACCAUAACGUGAACCCCUGGACCAUGACGGAAGGGAGGUCUGUGUGUGUAACACCGCCGUCUCUGGGGCCUUGCCCAUCCCCCCAGGGCCCAGAGAGGCCAGUCUGCUAUCCAAGGACCAGCCGGAGCCGGGCGUCCCGCAGUUCAGGCCGCUUCCCAAGCCAGAGGCCGACCUGGGGUGAUCCCGUGUGCCCCUUCCUUGCUUCCCCCGUGCCCACUGGAAAGCCUGCGUCUGGGAUGGGGGGGGUCCCUCAGAACAUGGGGCUCGGGCUUGAGGCCCGUGAUCUUCCCAGGGAGGCAUGGAGUGAAUUACUUUGCCCCGCGGGCCCCUGUUUCUUCCUCUCCAGCGGCAAGCAGACGGGCUCCCACACAGAGGCAUUUGCUCCUAAAAGCUUCCAGCGGCCCCUAGAUGCCCAGGUCCCCCUCGGAGCCAGGGCUGGUGGGCUGGGGGUACGGACAGGCAGAGUGGCCUCGCCCACCUGGAGCCCUCCACCAAGCAAGACUUGUCAAGAAGGAAGCUCAGAAUCCCUGCCCCCAUGGAGGCAGCUCUGGGCAGGACUCUGCCGAGAUCACAAGCCUCGAUCCUUCGAAUCGGGGGCUGGAACGAGAGCUCUCCCUCAGCUGCAGAAAAAGCGAACGUAACUCAGCCAGCAGCGUGCACAUGGCUCCCCAGAGAGGCCCCGAGAAGCCAGAGCGCUGACAGGGGCUCUGGACGCCCCGCAGGCCCCUCCCCUAACAGGUACUGGGGGGAGUCCCCGCCUCGGGGUGUCCCCGGGCCUUCGUCCACCUGGACUUGCCGUCCCAUCUACAGAAGGGCAGGCCGGCCAGGUCAGGGCUCGCCCCGCUUCGCCACCCCGGGCGAGGACAGGACCCCGCCCCCCCCACCCCGCCCGAUGACCCAGCACAGGGGUCACGGCAGCACCAACAUCAGUCACCACAGAUGCUCGAGAAACGCAGGCUCGUCAGGUCUGCCCGGACCCUCCGGACCCUCCGGACUCAGAACCUUCCCGCAGGAUCCCACACAAAUCCCACAGGUGCACGCGGCCACGGGACACCUCCUGUGUCCUCAGUCUGGGAUCCCCCGCGUGUGAAGUAGGGUGUGCCGGGUCCUGGAAGCUGUGAGGUGGCCCCUCCAUCCCUACAACAGGAGCCCCCCGCCCCAGGCCUCUUGGCUGCAGCCUCUCCCCCCCCCCCCGGGGCCUUUGCACGGCUGUCCGACCUCCCAC
rnacentral:lncRNA from 1 species